UCUGCAGGCGAGAGGGAAGCGACCGUGCAGCCUCUGCCAGGGCGGCGGGACAGCGAGCGCACGGCCCGAGGCACACGCAAGCACACAGCGCAACUGCCGCCCGCCCCUCCGCAACAUGAUGGAGUCACGGUCAAUGUCAACAGAGCAGGGAACGUCUCAUCGUCAGCGUCAGCGGUGGCAGCUGCCCGGGCUGGGUACCACCCUCCUCCCUGCCCUCAAGAGCAGACGCAGUUCAAAGAGGUCAGCUGUGGGCCACCCAGGCUUCUGUUCUGACCUUGGUCCUACCUCUCGCUGGUCCCACCACCCGAAACCUCAAUCUGGGCCACGAGGAUAAGGUGAAACUCUGCUCACGAAAUGCCAGCUCAAGUGGCGGCACAGACCAUGUGCUCGGGGCGUGCAGACCACUCCCCUCCCUGUCUCCUAGCCCUACUCCUCCUGCCCCAGGCUCCAGACUGCUGAGGCUGCGAGCAGCUCGGCCCCUCCUCUGCCACCAGCAGAAAGGAGGUGGGGGCAGAGGAGCCAGGCAUCCUCUCAGGGCUCUGGGCCCUCAAAAGGGUGGACAGACAGCUCCAGGACCCACACAAGUCCCACCUUUCCCUGAUGAAAAGUGGCCACAGGUUCUGGAAGCUGAUCAGUAACCUUCCAACCUUCCCGCCUGGACUUCUCAUGGCCAAGCCUUACCCAGCAGAGGGGACACCAGCCAGAGCGCGAAGAUCUCCAGGGCAACGUCCGGGAGCUGCAGGACCUCACGGAUGGCGCGGUGCAGCUCGUGGGCACUGAGGGAAGGCAGGUUCUCCACUGCCAGGGGCACCACAGUGUCAUCCGCCAGAUACACCAGCACGUCAGCUGCUGCAGUGGAAGCCAGGCAGGGUCAGCUGGGCCAGUGCUCAGGCACAGGCAUGUCCCACUGGGGCUGGAGCCCCCACUCCACACCCUUGGGUGACCUAUGCUACACUCCAGAGACAGUCUCCAAAGGACCCUGUGAAGAAUUCUGUUAGGAUUUAUUCAAGAUGCUCAAACCACCCAGAAACCCAGCAACUCUGCCCCAGGGACUGGUCCCUAACCCCCGAAGGUUCAAAUUAGGGCUGGCCACACACACACUCCCCUGGCAGCCCCAAGGGCUGUUCUGUGCUUCCUCCAUGAAGGAGAACAUUAGUGGGGAUGGAGGCAGAUGGGCUUAAUCCUUCAGAUUUACAGCAGUUGGUGUAUCAGGUUGGGAGGGGGAGAGCUGGGGACCCACUAUUAUCCCAGGGCAAGUUGCUGUCUCUCUCUGGCCCAGGCUAAGAUGGGAACUGAGGAUUCAAGGCCAGCCGAGGGCAAAGCAAGACCCAGGGCUCAGCUCCCUUUGAACUCUUCAAGCCUCAGAACGCAAUACCAUGGCUUUCAGGAUAGGCCAGGGGAAGGACAAGUUGAGCCUUCCCUGUGACAACCUCUGGGAUUCCUAUUUGGAGCCCAGAGCCACAGGGAGACCCUUGGAAGAGCAGCCAGAUGCAAACCCCCAUCCCUGGAACCGCAGCUGCCCUGAAGGAGCACUGAGCGUGGAGGCCAGUAUAUUCCGGUUCAAGUCCUCGGCCGGCUCCUGGCUAGCUGGCUGACUUCGGCAGGUCAGUGUGAGUUAGGCGGCCUCACCCGUAAAGCCGGGCUAAGACCCCUCCCUCAAAGAGUGGCUGUGAAUCAAAGGUGAGGGCGUAGCUUAUCAUUAAUACAAGGGAAGGUGCUUUUUAGAUCCCCAGUCUGUUCCCCAACAGCUACUUUCUUUAAAAAAAAAAAAAAAGUAUUUUUAUUGAUUUCAGAGAGGAAGGGAGAGGGAAA